rnacentral:rRNA from 1 species
ACUAAGCGUACACGGUGGAUGCCCUGGCAGUCAGAGGCGAUGAAGGACGUGCUAAUCUGCGAUAAGCGUCGGUAAGGUGAUAUGAACCGUUAUAACCGGCGAUUUCCGAAUGGGGAAACCCAGUGUGUUUCGACACACUAUCAUUAACUGAAUCCAUAGGUUAAUGAGGCGAACCGGGGGAACUGAAACAUCUAAGUACCCCGAGGAAAAGAAAUCAACCGAGAUUCCCCCAGUAGCGGCGAGCGAACGGGGAGCAGCCCAGAGCCUGAAUCAGUGUGUGUGUUAGUGGAAGCGUCUGGAAAGGCGUGCGAUACAGGGUGACAGCCCCGUACACAAAAAUGCACAUGCUGUGAGCUCGAUGAGUAGGGCGGGACACGUGGUAUCCUGUCUGAAUAUGGGGGGACCAUCCUCCAAGGCUAAAUACUCCUGACUGACCGAUAGUGAACCAGUACCGUGAGGGAAAGGCGAAAAGAACCCCGGCGAGGGGAGUGAAAAAGAACCUGAAACCGUGUACGUACAAGCAGUGGGAGCACGCUUAGGCGUGUGACUGCGUACCUUUUGUAUAAUGGGUCAGCGACUUAUAUUCUGUAGCAAGGUUAACCGAAUAGGGGAGCCGAAGGGAAACCGAGUCUUAACUGGGCGUUAAGUUGCAGGGUAUAGACCCGAAACCCGGUGAUCUAGCCAUGGGCAGGUUGAAGGUUGGGUAACACUAACUGGAGGACCGAACCGACUAAUGUUGAAAAAUUAGCGGAUGACUUGUGGCUGGGGGUGAAAGGCCAAUCAAACCGGGAGAUAGCUGGUUCUCCCCGAAAGCUAUUUAGGUAGCGCCUCGUGAAUUCAUCUCCGGGGGUAGAGCACUGUUUCGGCAAGGGGGUCAUCCCGACUUACCAACCCGAUGCAAACUGCGAAUACCGGAGAAUGUUAUCACGGGAGACACACGGCGGGUGCUAACGUCCGUCGUGAAGAGGGAAACAACCCAGACCGCCAGCUAAGGUCCCAAAGUCAUGGUUAAGUGGGAAACGAUGUGGGAAGGCCCAGACAGCCAGGAUGUUGGCUUAGAAGCAGCCAUCAUUUAAAGAAAGCGUAAUAGCUCACUGGUCGAGUCGGCCUGCGCGGAAGAUGUAACGGGGCUAAACCAUGCACCGAAGCUGCGGCAGCGACACUAUGUGUUGUUGGGUAGGGGAGCGUUCUGUAAGCCUGUGAAGGUGUACUGUGAGGUAUGCUGGAGGUAUCAGAAGUGCGAAUGCUGACAUAAGUAACGAUAAAGCGGGUGAAAAGCCCGCUCGCCGGAAGACCAAGGGUUCCUGUCCAACGUUAAUCGGGGCAGGGUGAGUCGACCCCUAAGGCGAGGCCGAAAGGCGUAGUCGAUGGGAAACAGGUUAAUAUUCCUGUACUUGGUGUUACUGCGAAGGGGGGACGGAGAAGGCUAUGUUGGCCGGGCGACGGUUGUCCCGGUUUAAGCGUGUAGGCUGGUUUUCCAGGCAAAUCCGGAAAAUCAAGGCUGAGGCGUGAUGACGAGGCACUACGGUGCUGAAGCAACAAAUGCCCUGCUUCCAGGAAAAGCCUCUAAGCAUCAGGUAACAUCAAAUCGUACCCCAAACCGACACAGGUGGUCAGGUAGAGAAUACCAAGGCGCUUGAGAGAACUCGGGUGAAGGAACUAGGCAAAAUGGUGCCGUAACUUCGGGAGAAGGCACGCUGAUAUGUAGGUGAAGUCCCUCGCGGAUGGAGCUGAAAUCAGUCGAAGAUACCAGCUGGCUGCAACUGUUUAUUAAAAACACAGCACUGUGCAAACACGAAAGUGGACGUAUACGGUGUGACGCCUGCCCGGUGCCGGAAGGUUAAUUGAUGGGGUUAGCGCAAGCGAAGCUCUUGAUCGAAGCCCCGGUAAACGGCGGCCGUAACUAUAACGGUCCUAAGGUAGCGAAAUUCCUUGUCGGGUAAGUUCCGACCUGCACGAAUGGCGUAAUGAUGGCCAGGCUGUCUCCACCCGAGACUCAGUGAAAUUGAACUCGCUGUGAAGAUGCAGUGUACCCGCGGCAAGACGGAAAGACCCCGUGAACCUUUACUAUAGCUUGACACUGAACAUUGAGCCUUGAUGUGUAGGAUAGGUGGGAGGCUUUGAAGUGUGGACGCCAGUCUGCAUGGAGCCGGCCUUGAAAUACCACCCUUUAAUGUUUGAUGUUCUAACGUUGACCCGUGAUCCGGGUUGCGGACAGUGUCUGGUGGGUAGUUUGACUGGGGCGGUCUCCUCCUAAAGAGUAACGGAGGAGCACGAAGGUUGGCUAAUCCUGGUCGGACAUCAGGAGGUUAGUGCAAUGGCAUAAGCCAGCUUGACUGCGAGCGUGACGGCGCGAGCAGGUGCGAAAGCAGGUCAUAGUGAUCCGGUGGUUCUGAAUGGAAGGGCCAUCGCUCAACGGAUAAAAGGUACUCCGGGGAUAACAGGCUGAUACCGCCCAAGAGUUCAUAUCGACGGCGGUGUUUGGCACCUCGAUGUCGGCUCAUCACAUCCUGGGGCUGAAGUAGGUCCCAAGGGUAUGGCUGUUCGCCAUUUAAAGUGGUACGCGAGCUGGGUUUAGAACGUCGUGAGACAGUUCGGUCCCUAUCUGCCGUGGGCGCUGGAGAACUGAGGGGGGCUGCUCCUAGUACGAGAGGACCGGAGUGGACGCAUCACUGGUGUUCGGGUUGUCAUGCCAAUGGCACUGCCCGGUAGCUAAAUGCGGAAGAGAUAAGUGCUGAAAGCAUCUAAGCACGAAACUUGCCCCGAGAUGAGUUCUCCCUGACUCCUUGAGAGUCCUGAAGGAACGUUGAAGACGACGACGUUGAUAGGCCGGGUGUGUAAGCGCAGCGAUGCGUUGAGCUAACCGGUACUAAUGAACCGUGAGGCUUAACC